GCCUUCGUGGUUUAGUGGUCAGCACGCUCGACGCGUAACCGAGAGGUCCGUGGUUCGAGUCCCGACGAAAGCG
rnacentral:tRNA from 1 species